GAGUUUGAUCGUGGCUCAGAUUGAACGCUGGCGGCAGGCCUAACACAUGCAAGUCGAGCGGUAGAGAGAAGCUUGCUUCUCUUGAGAGCGGCGGACGGGUGAGUAAUGCCUAGGAAUCUGCCUGGUAGUGGGGGAUAACGCUCGGAAACGGACGCUAAUACCGCAUACGUCCUACGGGAGAAAGCAGGGGACCUUCGGGCCUUGCGCUAUCAGAUGAGCCUAGGUCGGAUUAGCUAGUUGGUGAGGUAAUGGCUCACCAAGGCGACGAUCCGUAACUGGUCUGAGAGGAUGAUCAGUCACACUGGAACUGAGACACGGUCCAGACUCCUACGGGAGGCAGCAGUGGGGAAUAUUGGACAAUGGGCGAAAGCCUGAUCCAGCCAUGCCGCGUGUGUGAAGAAGGUCUUCGGAUUGUAAAGCACUUUAAGUUGGGAGGAAGGGCAGUAAAUUAAUAACUUUUGCUGUUUUGACGUUACCGACAGGAAUAAGCACCGGCUAACUCUG
rnacentral:rRNA from 1 species